GAUGAACGCUGGCGGCGUGCCUUAAGCAUGCAAGUCGAACGGCAGCACGGGAGCAAUCCUGGUGGCGAGUGGCGAACGGGUGAGUAAAGUAUCGGAACGUGCCCAGUCGUGGGGGAUAACGUAGCGAAAGUUACGCUAAUACCGCAUACGAUCUAUGGAUGAAAGCGGGGGAUCGCAAGACCUCGCGCGAUUGGAGCGGCCGAUAUCAGAUUAGGUAGUUGGUGGGGUAAAGGCUCACCAAGCCGACGAUCUGUAGCUGGUCUGAGAGGACGGCCAGCCACACUGGGACUGAGACACGGCCCAGACUCCUACGGGAGGCAGCAGUGGGGAAUUUUGGACAAUGGGCGAAAGCCUGAUCCAGCCAUGCCGCGUGCAGGAUGAAGGCCUUCGGGUUGUAAACUGCUUUUGUACGGAACGAAAAGGUUUGGGCUAAUAAGCUGAGCUCAUGACGGUACCGUAAGAAUAAGCACCGGCUAACUACGUGCCAGCAGCCGCCGUAA
rnacentral:rRNA from 1 species